UACGUAGGUGGCAAGCGUUGUCCGGAUUUACUGGGCGUAAAGAGCGCGCAGGCGGUCGGAUAAGUCGAAUGUGAAAGCCCCCGGCUCAACUGGGGAGGGUCAUUCGAUACUGUUCGACUCGAAGGCAGGAGAGGGAAGUGGAAUUCCCGGUGUAGUGGUGAAAUGCGUACGAUAUCAGGAGGAACACCGGUAGUCGGAAGGCGGGUCUCUGGGCCGACUACUGACGCUGAGGAGCGAAAG
rnacentral:rRNA from 1 species